CUACUGGCGCAGCCUGAUCAGCAUGCCGCGUGUGUGAAGAAGGCCUUCGGGUUGUAAAGCACUUUUAUCAGGAGCGAAAUCUGCAUGCUUAAUACGUGUGCAGUCUGACGGUACCUGAGGAAUAAGCACCGGCUAACUUCGUGCCAGCAGCCGCGGUAAUACGAAGGGUGCAAGCGUUAAUCGGAAUUACUGGGCGUAAAGGGUGCGUAGGCGGUUCGUUAAGUCUGUCGUGAAAUCCCCGGGCUCAACCUGGGAAUGGCGAUGGAUACUGGCGAGCUAGAGUGUGUCAGAGGAUGGUGGAAUUCCCGGUGUAGCGGUGAAAUGCGUAGAGAUCGGAAGGAC
rnacentral:rRNA from 1 species